rnacentral:lncRNA from 1 species
CUUUAAAAUAUUUUUAUUUGAUAAAUAUGAGUCACUGUUUAAGAUUUUUUACAUUUACAAAUAAUGCUGUUGUCUCAGUAGUCUUGUUUACUCUAGGAAAUGUCUACUCCUGACAACUGGUGUUGGAAUCAGAUGCAACCAUGGAUGAAAACAGUCUAAUUGCAAGUGUGGAUAGAAUGAACAUCGUUUGAAGAUCUGUCUGAUGCAAGUUAAUAUGCAGGAAAUGUUACUCACCAUUUGGAUCUAUAAAAAGGAGAGUUUCAAAAGUUGUUGCAAAAAUGGUGAUGGGAGAACACUUUUCAACUAAAAAAAUUACAUUUGCCCAUCAGUACUGAGGAGUGGAAGGGAGGAGGAGCAUACACACACAACUAAACAAAAUAUUUUCCAAAUUUGGUGUUUAACUUGUCCUAUCUACAGCCAUUUCCUAGCUAUGUUUUUAGAGAAGAUGUUUUAAAAUAAAGCUAAAUGUUCUAAUAAUCGUUUUGAGCUU